GGGAAUAGCUCAGUUGAUAGAGCAUUAGCCUUCCAAGCUGAGGGUCGCGGGUUUGAGUCCCGUUUCCC
rnacentral:tRNA from 5 species